rnacentral:rRNA from 1 species
UACGGAGGGUGCAAGCGUUUAUCCGGGAUUCACUGGGUUUUAAAGGGGUGCGUAGGUGGGCAGUUAAGUCAGUGGUGAAAUCUCCGGGCUCAACCCGGAACUGCCAUUGAUACUAUCUGUCUUGAAUAUCGUGGAGGUAAGCGGAAUAUGUCAUGUAGCGGUGAAAUGCUUAGAUAUGACAUAGAACACCAAUUGCGAAGGCAGCUUACUACCCGAAUAUUGACACUGAGGCACGAAAGCGUGGGGAUCAAACAGG